rnacentral:rRNA from 1 species
UGCUUGCAAUCCGCUGACGACCGGCGAACGGGUGCGUAACGCGUAUGCAACCUACCUUUUACAGGGGAAUAGCCCAAAGAAAUUUGGAAUAAUACCCCAUAAGAUCUUUGAUUGGCAUCGAUCAAAGAAGAAAACUCCGGUGGUAAAAGAUGGGCAUGCGUCCUAUUAGUUAGUUGGUAAGGUAACGGCUUACCAAGACUUCGAUAGGUAGGGGUCCUGAGAGGGAGAUCCCCCACACUGGUACUGAGACACGGACCAGACUCCUACGGGAGGCAGCAGUGAGGAAUAUUGGACAAUGGAGGCAACUCUGAUCCAGCCAUGCCGCGUGCAGGAAGACUGCCCUAUGGGUUGUAAACUGCUUUUAUACAGGAAGAAUUGCAUCUACGUGUAGUUGCUUGACGGUACUGUACGAAUAAGGAUCGGCUAACUCCGUGCCAGCAGCCGCGGUAAUACGGAGGAUCCAAGCGUUAUCCGGAAUUAUUGGGUUUAAAGGGUCCGUAGGCGGUUUUUUAAGUCAGAGGUGAAAUCCUGCAGCUCAACUGUAGCAUUGCCUUUGAUACUGAAAGACUUGAGUUAUUGUGAAGUAGUUAGAAUGUGUAGUGUAGCGGUGAAAUGCAUAGAUAUUACACAGAAUACCGAUNGCGAAAGCAGAUUACUAACAAUAUACUGACGCUCAUGGACGAAAGCGUGGGUAGCGAACAGGAUUAGAUACCCUGGUAGUCCACGCCGUAAACGAUGGAUACUAGCUGUUCGAUCAACAUUGGUUGANUGAGUGGUUAAGCGAAAGUGAUAAGUAUCCCACCUGGGGAG